GUUACCAUAUUUGCGCACGCGCGGCGCGCGGUGACGUCACCGCAUCUUUAUAAAGGGCCGCCUUGGGGCGCGAAAAGUUCGUGAGGUGUAGUCGCGGCAACCAGGAGGUGGGCGUGUGGUAACGCGGCGCGCGGGAGGGUGGCUUGAAAGGGUCUUUAUGAACCCUAGGGAAAGGCCGUCUGGUAGGAACUCCAUUUCAAGACCUUUUAAAGUGAGACCUGCAUAUGUUGAAAGAGUUUCAGAGAGUGAAGCUGGGUUCUUAGAAGCUGGAAUGUCCCAGCAGAAUGUAGAAAUGCGAAAAAUUCGGCACAGUAGUCUAAAGUGCACCCACCACUAGAAUUUGAACAUCCUAAGAACAGGUAUUUUUGUCUCUGCUUUGCUGAUGUAUCCUCAGCAACCGGAACUGCCUGACAUCUGAUCCUUUCUGUGAGACACCAGGCUGUUGAGGAAGAAUCUAUGGCAACAUUGUAUCUAUUAAUAUACAGCUUCUGUAUUUAUCAGGCCCAGUUCUGGUGAUGAUUUCACUUUUGACAGAAGCUGUCCCUCAAAAGCAAACAUGCAAUAGAAGAAACAGAUCUCAAUGCCAUCCAUCUGCAGUUGUGACAAGCAAAAAAGUCUCCAGACAUGGCCAAAUGUCCCCUGGGGGGCAAAAUCACCCCCAAUUGAGAACUACUGCUCUAAACUCUUGAAAUUAGGUUUGUAGGUACCAAAAGCAGAGCCUCAGAAGAGGGUGAACUGAUGACAGCAACUUCUACUGAGAAGAAAACACCAAAGCUGAGAUAACGCUGACCUCAAAUGCAACACUGUAGGCAAUAAAGAACAAUGGCAUUCGAACAUAAAGCUGUUUCCAAAAUCUACAGUUAUGUAUCGGCCGUACUUGCAUCUUCAGAACUGUUAGAGGGAAAUCACCAACACUUGAUGCCUCUAACCUACUCAUACACGCUAAAUUUCCUUUCUCUUAAUCUUAAGGAAUAACAGAUAAAUAAAAAGAGAAACAGCUUUCUUGCCCAUAGUUUUUUAUUUGAUAUUAGAAAGGAAAAAUAAGCAGCCAAAGCUGUCCCUGAACAUACACCACAGGGAGGAGCUGCACAGAGGGCCCAGCCUUAGUACACAGCUCCUGGUAAGGCCAUUAGCAUGUAACUCAGUAAAACUGAGUAUCUGUGAUUCUUAUCAGCCACCAGUGAUGAGAUGCUUGCUGUGUAUCAGGAAGCCAGAGGCAGCGGU
rnacentral:lncRNA from 1 species